GGGCCUAUAGCUUAGUGGCAGAGCACCCGGUUUGCAUCCGGGGGAUUGGAGUUCGAUUCUCCAUAGGUCCACCA
rnacentral:tRNA from 1 species